AGGAUCAUUAAAGAAAUUUAAUAAUUUUGAUAUUGGAUUUUUUUGUUUUGGCAAGAGCGUGAGAGCUUUUACUGGGCAAGAAGACAAGAGAUGGAGAGUCCAGCCGGGCCUGCGCUUAAGUGCGCGGUCUUGCUAGGCUUGCAAAUUUCUUUCUUGCUAUUCCAAACAGUGAGACUUCUCUGUUUUUGUUAUAGGACAAUUAAAACCGUUUCAAUACAACACACUGUGGAGUUUUUAUACUUUUGCAACUUUUUCUUUGGGCUUCGAGCAAUCGAGCCCAGAGGUAACAAACACAAACAAUUUUAUUUAUUCAUUAAAUUUUUGUCAAAAACAAGAAUUUUCGUAACUGGAAAUUUUAAAAAUAAUUAAAAACUUUCAACAACGGAUCUCUUGGUUCUCGCAUCGAUGAAGAACGCAGCGAAAUGCGAUACGUAAUGUGAAUUGCAGAAUUCCGUGAAUCAUCGAAUCUUUGAACGCACAUUGCGCCCCUUGGUAUUCCAGGGGGCAUGCCUGUUUGAGCGUCAUUUCCUUCUCAAACAUUCUGUUUGGUAGUGAGUGAUACUCUCUGGAGUUAACUUGAAAUUGCUGGCCUUUUCAUUGGAUGUUUUUUUUCCAAAGAGAGGUUUCUCUGCGUGCUUGAGGUAUAAUGCAAGUACGGUCGUUUUAGGUUUUACCAACUGCGGCUAAUCUUUUUUGUACUGAGCGUAUUGAAACGUUAUCGAUAAGAAGAGAGCGUCUAGGCGAACAAUGUUCUUAAAGUUUGACCUCAAAUCAGGUAGGAGUACCCGCUGAACUUAAGCAUAUCAAUAAGCGGAGGAAAA
rnacentral:rRNA from 1 species